GUAGUCAUAUGCUUGUCUCAAAGAUUAAGCCAUGCAUGUCUAAGUAUAAGCAAUUAUACCGUGAAACUGCGAAUGGCUCAUUAAAUCAGUUAUCGUUUAUUUGAUAGUACCUUACUACUUGGAUAACCGUGGUAAUUCUAAAGCUAAUACAUGCUAAAAACCCCAACUUCGGGAGGGGUGUAUUUAUUAGAUAAAAAACCAAUGCCCUUCGGGGCUCUUUGGUGAUUCAUGAUAACUUAACGGAUCGCAUGGCCUUGCGCCGGCGACGGUUCAUUCAAAUUUCUGCCCUAUCAACUUUCGAUGGUAAGGUAUUGGCUUACCAUGGUUUCAACGGGUAACGGGGAAU
rnacentral:rRNA from 1 species